rnacentral:misc_RNA from 1 species
CAACGUAAUUGAAAGGAGGUGAUCCAGUGUCGAGAGAAACAUUGGAGAGAGGUGUCGGAACAGUUCGGAGGAUGACGCCCUAGGGCAGCCCCGGGGUCAAACCCCUCCCGAAUUGGUGAGCGCCUAACCGGCCCCACCUCCUCAAUUCUCGAAGGGCCGUCCGAAGAUCGGGCGGCCCU